GAUGAACGCUGGCGGCGUGCUUAACACAUGCAAGUCGAACGAACCUUCGGGUUAGUGGCGGACGGGUGAGUAACGCGUGAGAAUCUGCCCUCAGGAGGGGGACAACAGCUGGAAACGGCUGCUAAUACCCCAUAUGCCGCGAGGUGAAAUGAAUUUCGCCUGAGGAUGAGCUCGCGUCUGAUUAGCUAGUUGGUGUAGGUAAUGGCUCACCAAGGCAUCGAUCAGUAGCUGGUCUGAGAGGAUGAUCAGCCACACUGGGAUCUGAGACACGGCCCAGACUCCUACGGGAGGCAGCAGUGGGGAAUUUUCCGCAAUGGGCGAAAGCCUGACGGAGCAACGCCGCGUGAGGGAUGAAGGCCUUUGGGCUGUAAACCUCUUUUAUCAAGGAAGAAGAUCUGACGGUACUUGAUGAAUAAGCCACGGCUAAUUCCGUGCCAGCA
rnacentral:rRNA from 1 species